GUUACCACUUACCAUCUAACUCCAAAAUCCAAAUAGGUUCUCUCUCUUUCUUCCUCAUUUUCCCUUUGCUUUUAUCCUUACUGUAGAUCUCACACGUUAUAUUAUUAUUAUUAUAAUUUUUAUGUAUAUAUUUUCUAGGCAAUACAUUCAUAUUUAUAUAUAAAUAUUUGAUUCUUCUCAUACUUGAGCACUUCAGCAAUCUUUGUAUAUACCUUUUAUUUCUUCAAAGCACUUUUUCUUUCCCUUUACCUACUAUGACUCUUAAGAGAGAUUCAUGUUUAGAUUUGACUCUCAACUUCGUUUUCUUUUCUUCUCCUUCUCAUGGAGAAAGGCUUUUCUUUCAUUCGCUGGAACUGAAAAGGAUGUGUUUUAAUCCUCACAUUUGUUUCAGUUUUCAUCGAUCUAGAGUUUCUAAAAGCACGAUUUUUUGCUGUUCUUUCUGGUCAAUUUUUCUUUUCAUAGGGAUAUUGGAUUUCCUUCUCUUUUUUUUUCUUUUGGUUCUCGAGGAAUGAGUUCCUCUGGGUAGAUAGAUUCCUUUCCUAAAGUGGCCUCGUGUACACCAAAACCAAACAUAAAUUUGCACAUAAAAUCUCUAUUUUCCUUCCACUUUCUUCUCUGUUUGAUUUUUUAUUUUUUAUUUUUUACUCUUCCCUUAAUCAGUCUUAUGUUUCAUGAUAUUCCCCUUUUUCAGUUUCUCCUUGGACAAUUUUCCGUUAGAUUUGCCUUUUCUUUGUGUAUCUUGUGCCAUAUAUUGAGCCAUAAUAAGUACUUUUUUUUAUGAGAGUGGACAAUAUGCUACAUAUAUAGUUUCUAUAUAUGUUACUUUGUGUUUAGGAGCUAUAGUUGCAUGGACAGAUAGAUUAACAGUCGUUAUUUGCGGAUGUAGCAUCAUCAAGAUUCACAUGCAAACGCAGGUGGUGGGUGGGACUGUGAUGCAAUCUAAGUGCUACUGUGCCAACCAAAGCCAUAGGUCUUUUGGAAGUGAGAAUCUUGAUGAUGCUGCAUCAGCCAUAAACGACUUCAACUUUAAAAAGUUGGAUAAGGACUAUUCUAACCUCAACAAGUGGGCAAGAAAAAAAUAUAAAAAAGAAUUGAAAAACCAAAAAAACUGUUGUUGGGGGAUACACACAUGACACAGCCAAAACCUUCAGACAUGAUCUGAUCUGUGCAUUUAAACCAAGAGAGGUGACCUUUCCAACUUUGGCUUUUGUUGGUGUCAGGCGUUUUGCAGAGACAAUCCUAGGUUAUCUCGUAAAGGCUAUUUUGGAGGCCGAGAGGAGCGGCUGUUUGGCCCUUUAUGUGCUGCUGACUUCACAGAUCUAUGAUGAAUAUUCCCUUUUCAACAGAGAAAUGCUGGGAUCUAAAUGGUGUCUUUUCAGUUUCUAUAUAUAGAUGACUUUUUCCAAAUCUGUAGAGAAUGUUAGAGAGACAAGCACAGAGAGAAAGUUAAAAUUAGCUAGAUGUUGAUGCUGAUAUUGUGACGGUAACUUUUACUUUUGAUGAGUAUUUUCCUUACAUCAGAUCUAGCAAUAUUUCAUAUCUAGAAUGCUAUAUAUAUAUAACUAACUUGUAUAAUUUUUUAUGCGCUGAUGUUCAAAAACUUUGUCAAAGGCAUGCAGUUUCGUGCAUAUAUAGAGUGAGUGAAAAUGAGAUAUAGGAAGGAUUUUGUUGAUUAUCAGUACCCUUGUGAUUUUGUUUCUACUAACCAAAUAGUUUUCUUUUGGGGUCUCAUCCCCACAAGAUUAAUUUGGCCUUGUAAAUUGUUACACAUUAGGAAACACACAAGAAUUAAGUAUAUGUAUGUGUGUGUAUGCAUUUAGUAGUGGAUAUUGUUUCCAAGUUGGUUUGCGCAGUUUGGAAUGCAGAUUAUUGAGAAUGGAAACUGGCUUGGGAACAUGGAUAUACAUGAACAUGGACAUAUAAUGGACAUGUCUUAGUUCCAUGGUGAAGACUUUGGCUUUAGUAUGGACUAGUUACCCGUAGCUCUCUGGUUAAGUGGACCAAGAACCUCUUACAAGUUGGACCCUCCAAGGCAGUACACAUGGAUCUUUGUUUGCAGGUGAUCGUUUAAAUUAAAGCAACAGUCUCUUGACUCUAUUCUACUUCAGGGGGCGAAGUUCUCCCACUAGCUAGCUUCUGAAUCUUGCACAUGGAUCUGUUCCACAAGUUGCACAUGCAUAUAACUUGUGCAUUAUAUUCUGCGUCAAAAUGGACAUAAUCACAUGCCACUGCGUACUAUAUACAUUGCUUCCAUCAUUCUGUGUCUGGUUAUAUCUCCUUUGGCAAAGAGGAAUCGAACAACACAAAUGGAAUCCGUUCAGUCUGUCUACAAUCUAAACCGUGGUGCUCUCAUUAGUGUUGCAAAUUUGGUCGUUGUAGUAAACACAAACAUAUGCAGUUGGAUGAGACAUAAUGGUGUUCACUGUGCAGUCACAUGCACUAGUAAAUAGCAUGUGAGCCUGUCCAACACAUGGUCUCGAGAUGCGAUAAGGGGUUUUUACUGUGGGUUGCUACAACUAAAGAAUUUUUUCCUUGCUCUUCAAAGGAAUAUGGUGCAUCGAACUAUUGUAAAGAAACUAAAUAUGAUACCGCAGAAUUUGGUGUAUUUAAAUCAACACCAAAUAAAUUGGUCAUCCAUUCAGGGUUAGUUCCAUUGACUAACUCGCAAGUCUAGCCAAAAGUUUGAUGAACAUGUGGAGUACAAAAUGUUGACUGAGGAUGUGGAACUAGGAAAUAUGUUUCUUCAAUAGUUGUUCCUACAACAUUAUGGAUAAUUGUUGUGUGUGGAUCAUUUUGUUGUUGUGCAACAAACAAGAACUAAGUAGUGUUUUUCCUAUACCAUUCAAUAUACCCCUGUGUAUGUGUGA